rnacentral:tRNA from 1 species
GAAAAAUUAGUUUAAAUUUAAAACAUUAAUAUGUCAUAUUAACAUUACCUACGUAUUUUUCU